GACAGGUGCUGCAUGGCUGUCGUCAGCUCGUGUUGUGAAAUGUUGGGUUAAGUCCCGCAACGAGCGCAACCCUUAUCCUUGUUUGCCAGCGAGUAAUGUCGGGAACUCCAGGGAGACUGCCGGUGAUAAACCGGAGGAAGGUGGGGACGACGUCAAGUCAUCAUGGCCCUUACGAGUAGGGCUACACACGUGCUACAAUGGCGCAUACAGAGGGCGGCCAACUUGCGAAAGUGAGCGAAUCCCAAAAAGUGCGUCGUAGUCCGGAUUGGAGUCUGCAACUCGACUCCAUGAAGUCGGAAUCGCUAGUAAUCGUGGAUCAGAAUGCCACGGUGAAUACGUUCCCGGGCCUUGUACACACCGCCCGUCACACCAUGGGAG
rnacentral:rRNA from 1 species